GACGAACGCUGGCGGCGUGCCUAACACAUGCAAGUCGAGCGGGGUUGAGGCGAGAGGUAACUCGAGCUUCUACCUAGCGGCGGACGGGUGAGUAACGCGUGGGCAACCUGCCUCAAGGUUUGGGAUAACAGCCCGAAAGGGCUGCUAAUACCGGAUAUGCCUAUGGCCUCGCAUGGGGCUAUGAGCAAAGGGGAAACCCGCCUUGAGAUGGGCCCGCGUCCCAUCAGCUAGUUGGUGAGGUAACAGCUCACCAAGGCGACGACGGGUAGCCGGCCUGAGAGGGUGACCGGCCACACUGGGACUGAGACACGGCCCAGACUCCUACGGGGGCAGCAGUGGGGGAUCUUGCACAAUGGGCGAAAGCCUGAUGCAGCGACGCCGCGUGAGCGAAGAAGGCCUUCGGGUUGUAAAGCUCUGUCUGGAGGGACGAACAAAAUGACGGUACCUCCGGAGGAAGCCACGGCUAACUACGUGCCAGCAGCCGCGGUAAAU
rnacentral:rRNA from 1 species